rnacentral:rRNA from 1 species
GCGCAGCUUACCAUGCAGUCGAGCGGUAACAGGGGGUGCUUGCACCCCGCUGACGAGCGGCGGACGGGUGAGUAAUGCAUAGGAAUCUGCCCAGUAGUGGGGGAUAGCCCGGGGAAACCCGGAUUAAUACCGCAUACGCCCUUUGGGGGAAAGCAGGGGAUCUUCGGACCUUGCGCUAUUGGAUGAGCCUAUGUCGGAUUAGCUAGUUGGUGGGGUAAAGGCCUACCAAGGCGACGAUCCGUAGCUGGUCUGAGAGGAUGAUCAGCCACAUCGGGACUGAGACACGGCCCGAACUCCUACGGGAGGCAGCAGUGGGGAAUAUUGGACAAUGGGGGCAACCCUGAUCCAGCCAUGCCGCGUGUGUGAAGAAGGCUUUCGGGUUGUAAAGCACUUUCAGUGAGGAGGAAAACCUUCUGGUUAAUACCCAUGAGGCUUGACGUUACUCACAGAAGAAGCACCGGCUAACUCCGUGCCAGCAGCCGCGGUAAUACGGAGGGUGCAAGCGUUAAUCGGAAUUACUGGGCGUAAAGCGCGCGUAGGUGGUUUGAUAAGCGAGAUGUGAAAGCCCCGGGCUUAACCUGGGAACGGCAUUUCGAACUG